AGUUGUUCAAAGACAAAUUCAAAUCUCCACAAUCAGAGUCUACAAAAAAUCUCCAGCUGUUACAUUCGUUGGAUUACUGCUAUAUCAAAGUUGCUCUAAUAAAACAUGGCGGAGCUAGAAGGAACACAGAGUGUGGAUGUGACCAUCAAUUACUUGAAGACUCGCAAAGGAAUGACUAUGGCAGGUGAAAUAGCUCUCUGUUUAUUUUCCAUCAUUGGCAAAACUGUUCCAGUAAAUGUGGGUUGUUACAUCAUUGUACCCAUUGCUGAGAUGGUGUUGGGAAUUUUCAUGCUAAUUGUCUAUACAAGGGGAUUGGAGAAGACUUCCUUUGAGGUCCACUGGCUGUUUUGUGACCUCCUCAGAGUUGUCACUGGGUCCGUCCUACUCCUGAUCACCUCCAUUAGAUGUUUUGUCGUCCUGAUUUCCAACUCAGCUCUGUUGCUCGUAAUGGGAGAGGUCUUUGCAUUAUGUGCAGGAUGCUUGUUUGGUUAUGAUGCGUUCUUAAUUUAUUCUGUGAUAAAGAAUAAAAAUACAUCCACAACUGGCCAGGAUCCAUCUGACCAAUAUCCAUCGGGACAAGAUGAACAGUCGUAAUCUCAGGGCAUGUUUGUCAAGAUAUGAGGAAGAAACCACAACAAAAAAUGUCACAAUAUCACACAGGCUGUAUUUUACUUCCCCUCUUGAGUUUCAGGUUCUGGAAGAUCAGUUCAGUUAGGAUGUCACUAUUUCUCAAUAGUGACAUUAUUCAACCCUGAUCACUCUACUGAUUUCAAUGAAUUAAAUGUCCACAUAUAUUCUCUGUUGUUGUUUCGGACAUUGUUUUGUAUGGCUCAAAGAUAAGUGGAAGAAGAAACAACUGAGCAUGUCUAUCUCAUACAGUACAGUAUAUCUCAAAUUAUACAUUAAAUAAUUUAAAAUGGAAAA